rnacentral:rRNA from 1 species
UUUAAAUGUAAAUUUUUAGAUCAGGGUAGUAAUAGUUAUGUUCUUGAAACCCAAAGAAUUUGGCGGUAUUUUAGUCUUUUCAGAGGAACCUGUCCCGUAAUCGACAAUCCACGAGAUUAUUUACUUGUUUUUGUUUUCAGUUUGUAUACCUCCGUCAUCAGAGAAUCUUAUUAGAGUUUAAUUUUCUUUAAAUUUGUAUGAAUAGAAUGUCAGGUCAAGGUGCAAUUUAUGAAUAAGUGGUGUAUGGGUUACAAUAAAUUUAUUUAAACGAAGUAGAUUAUUUGAUUUUCUAUGAAGGCGGAUUUGAUAGUAAUUUUAAUUAUUUAUUAUUUUGAUUUUGGCUCUAAAAUAUGC